UGGGGAAUAUUGCACAAUGGGCGAAAGCCUGAUGCAGCAACGCCGCGUGAGUGAUGAAGGCCUUCGGGUUGUAAAGCUCUGUCUUUUGGGACGAUAAUGACGGUACCAAAGGAGGAAGCCACGACUAACUACGUGCCAGCAGCCGCGGUAAUACGUAGGUGGCAAGCGUUGUCCGGAUUUACUGGGCGUAAAGGAUGCGUAGGCGGAUUUUUAAGUGAGAUGUGAAAACCCUAAGCUUAACUUGGGGACUGCAUUUCAUACUGGAAAUCUAGAGUGCGGGAGAGGAGAAUGGAAUUCCUAGUGUAGCGGUGAAAUGCGUAGAGAUUAGGAAGAACACCAGUGGCGAAGGCGAUUCUCUGGACCGUAACUGACGCUGAGGCAUGAAAGCGUGGGUAGCAAAACAGGAUUAGAUACCCUGGUAGUCCACGCCGUAAACGAUGAGUACUAGGUGUAGGAGGUAUCGACACCUUCUGUGCCGCAGUUAACACAAUAAGUACUCCGCCUGGGAAGUACGAUCGCAAGAUUAAAAACUUAAAUGAAUUGACGGGGGUCAUAGCUGUUU
rnacentral:rRNA from 1 species